rnacentral:lncRNA from 1 species
GUGCAAGUGUGAUGUUCAGUGCAAAGCACGGCAGUAGCGAAAACGCCACAAAGAUCCAAGACUAUUUUUCAACUGAUACCUAGAAUCCUUUAAUUAGAUUCAGAGGCAGAGCGUUAAGAUUUGGCCAAAUCGGAACUGCAACUCAGAAAUAACUUAGGACAGUUAAUAGGUGAUUUUUUUAAAUGUAUAGUUAUAGCUAUCGCACAUCAUUUUUACAAAGUCGUGCAUUAACUAAUGGAGCAGAAGCACCACCUAUUAAGAUUCAAAUUCAGAAACAUAAUCUAAUACUACAAACUUUCCUUCGCAAUAUGCUUCAUUAUUUUACAUUCAAUGUUCGUUAUCAUAUGAAGCCAUGAAUCUAUAUAACUUGAAAGCAACUUAUCCAAUCACGAACACACUCACAAAACAAAUCCAACUAGUUUUUAUUCUUUUUUUAUUUCCCGACAGUCAGCUGAAAAAAAUAAAAGAAUCUCUAGUUCAGUUUUCCACAUAAUUAAAACAAGAAGAAACUCUCAAGCCGCCUUAACUUACACAGCGGGCCCCAUGCCUGGCGCUGGGAGGAAUGGCGAGGCUGUCCUGUCCCUAGGGCAGAGGGCUUGCGGGGCUGAGCACCUGAGCACAAGUACUUCGUGGUCAAGAGUGUUCCACAUUGCUGACAUUCAGCUCAGCCUCAGAAGCACCCUUGACAACUACCGAUGGCCACAGCCAAAUGGUUACCUGUAAAGUGGCCACUGCACCGUUUUCAGACAUGUAUUUUGUCACAGUGACAGAAAGCUGAGCAUCACAAACACAAGGAAGAAGGUCAUGGUAAAUGCAAGCAGAGACUGGAGUGAAGCAGCUAUAAGCCAUGAAUGCUGGGGAGCGUUGGAGCCACCAGAAGCUAUGAAGAG